AUUGAACGCUGGCGGCAGGCCUAACACAUGCAAGUCGAACGAGUGGCGGACGGGUGAGUAAUGUCUGGGAAACUUCCUGAUGGAGGGGUAUCACUACUGGAAACGGUAGCUACUACCGCAUACCAUCGGAUGUGCCCAGAUGGGAUUAGCUAGUAGGUGGGGUAACGGCGAACCUAGCCGACGAUCCCUAGCUGGUCUGAGAGGAUGACCAGCAAAACUGGAACUGAGACACGGUCCAGAUGCCGACGGGAGGCAGCAGUGGGGAAUAGUGCAAAAUGGGCGCAAGCCUGAUGCAGCCAUGCCGCGUGUAUGAAGAAGGCCAUCGGGUUGUAAAGUACUUUCAGCGGGGAGGCGUUAACCGCAGAAGAAGAACCGGCUAACUCCGUGCCAGCAGCCGCGGUAAUAC
rnacentral:rRNA from 1 species